CGGAGUGUAGCUCAGAUGGCUAGAGCGCGCGCUUUGGGAGCGUGAGGUCGCAGGUUCGAGUCCUGUCUCUCCGA
rnacentral:tRNA from 1 species